UGUGUGUGUGUGUGAGAAAGAGAGAGAUAGCGAGGGAGAGAGAGAGAGAGCUGCAUCUUACACAGUAUGCUCCAUGGGAAGGGACUGCUAGGACCUUUUCAGAGAGUCCCGGACCAGGCAAUAACAAGUUGUAGGUAAAAUGUCAACCAUAAGGUUUCUGCUUUCUGAGGUACCGUCUCCUGGGGCUUUCUGAGGUACCGUCUCCUAGGUUUUCUGAGGUACCGUCUCCUGGGGCUUUCUGAGGUACCGUCUCCUAGGGCUUUCUGAGGUACCGUCUCCUGGCGCUUUCUGUCCGUCUCCUGCUGCUGAGCCCUGGGGCUUUCUGAGGUACCGUCUCCUGGGGCUUUCUGAGGUACCGUCUCCUGCCGCUGUGUCCUGGGGGCUUUCUGAGGUACCGUCUCCUGCAUCUGUGCCCUGGGGCUUUCUGAGGUACCGUCUCCUGGGGCUUUCUGAGGUACCGUCUCCUGCAUCUGUGCCCUGGGGCUUUCUGAGGUACCGUCUCCUGCCGCUGAGCCCCGGAGACAAGAAGUAGAAGACUAACAAAGUCCUAUUCUAUUGUAUCCUAUCAGCUGAUGUCCAGGAUGUGGAUUUGUUCAAUGAGUAAUAGCAUACAGUACUUGUGUCAGACACACCCUAG
ensembl:lncRNA